GAUGAACGCUGGCGGCGUGCCUAAUACAUGCAAGUCGAGCGAACGGACGAGAAGCUUGCUUCUCUGAUGUUAGCGGCGGAUGGGUGAGUAACACGUGGAUAACCUACCUAUAAGACUGGGAUAACUUCGGGAAACCGGAGCUAAUACCGGAUAAUAUUUUGAACCGCAUGGUUCAAAAGUGAAAGACGGUCUUGCUGUCACUUAUAGAUGGAUCCGCGCUGCAUUAGCUAGUUGAUAAGGUAACGGCUUACCAAGGCAACGAUGCAUAGCCGACCUGAGAGGGUGAUCGGCCACACUGGAACUGAGACACGGUCCAGACUCCUACGGGAGGCAGCAGUAGGGAAUCUUCCGCAAUGGGCGAAAGCCUGACGGAGCAACGCCGCGUGAGUGAUGAAGGUCUUCGGAUCGUAAAACUCUGUUAUUAGGGAAGAACAUAUGUGUAAGUAACUGUGCACAUCUUGACGGUACCUAAUCAGAAAGCCACGGCUAACUACGUG
rnacentral:rRNA from 1 species